rnacentral:tRNA from 1 species
GGCCGCGUGGCCUAAUGGCUAAGGCGCUAGAUUUCGGUUUUCAGCAUCUGAUUCUCUAGAGAUUCCAGGUUCGACUCCUGGCGUGGUCG